AUUGAACGCUGGCGGCAUGCCUUACACAUGCAAGUCGAACGGCAGCACGGGUGCUUGCACCUGGUGGCGAGUGGCGAACGGGUGAGUAAUACAUCGGAACGUACCUUAUCGUGGGGGAUAACGCAGCGAAAGCUGUGCUAAUACCGCAUACGCCCUGAGGGGGAAAGCGGGGGAUCGAAAGACCUCGCGCGAUUAGAGCGGCCGAUGCCUGAUUAGCUUGUUGGUGGGGUGAAAACCCACCAAGGCGACGAUCAGUAGCUGGUCUGAGAGGACGAUCAGCCACACUGGGACUGAGACACGGCCCAGACUCCUACGGGAGGCAGCAGUGGGGAAUUUUGGACAAUGGGGGAAACCCUGAUCCAGCAAUGCCGCGUGAGUGAAGAAGGCCUUCGGGUUGUAAAGCUCUUUUGUCAGGGAAGAAACACCGGCUCUAACACAGUCCGGGAAUGACGGUACCUGAAGAAUAAGCACCGGCUAACUACGUGCCAGCCGCCGCCGUAA
rnacentral:rRNA from 1 species